rnacentral:lncRNA from 1 species
AUGGAGGCAGCUCAGCUCAGCGUAGUAGAAGCCAGUUCUUUAGAACAGCCCCUGACUGGUCUCUCCUGCUGCUGUUGGAGUCAUGUGGACAUACAGACAUCAGUCUGUAUGUUGUCAUACACGCGCUUGAACAACAACGGCUGGACCAUCUCCUUACAUCUUCUCAUGCGAAUGCGCAUGCCUGGUUCUCUAGGGCACGUCCUCUUGGAGACCGUUCCUCCCCACCCCAUGGCACUGUGCCCAGCCCACUUUCCCUCUUGUCGGACUGUUACAUCAUCGCAUCUUACUUGUCUGCCUAGCGCUUACUUCCCUCUUGUGUAUUCAUUAGCUGACUUGUUUAUUGUGUCUUCACCAAUCAGAAUGUGGUUCUGUGAAGGAAGAGGCUCUGCCUUGUUCUUGGGAAUCUCCAGGGUCCUGAGGAUGCUUGGCCAGAGAACAACCCUGAAGGAGCACUUGUAGGGUCCGUCUCCACAUCAUCACAGAGAUACCAGCACAGGACCCACUCUGCAAGGCUUUCAGCGCAGGGAGCCCUUCCUUCAAGCUGGGAGAUACCAGGAUCAAUUAUGAAUGUUAUUUCUUUAGCAGUCUGAACUUCAGCCUUUAAAAGACUCUCUGAGUCUUCAUUUGCUCAAUAAAGACCUUUCUCCUUGAUGCCUGUGAGGU